UGCAAGUCGACGCUUUUUCUUUCACCGGAGCUUGCUCCACCGAAAGAAAAAGAGUGGCGAACGGGUGAGUAACACGUGGGUAACCUGCCCAUCAGAAGGGGAUAACACUUGGAAACAGGUGCUAAUACCGUAUAACACUAUUUUCCGCAUGGAAGAAAGUUGAAAGGCGCUUUUGCGUCACUGAUGGAUGGACCCGCGGUGCAUUAGCUAGUUGGUGAGGUAACGGCUCACCAAGGCAACGAUGCAUAGCCGACCUGAGAGGGUGAUCGGCCACACUGGGACUGAGACACGGCCCAGACUCCUACGGGAGGCAGCAGUAGGGAAUCUUCGGCAAUGGACGAAAGUCUGACCGAGCAACGCCGCGUGAGUGAAGAAGGUUUUCGGAUCGUAAAACUCUGUUGUUAGAGAAGAACAAGGAUGAGAGUAAAACGUUCAUCCCUUGACGGUAUCUAACCAGAAAGCCACGGCUAACUACGUGCCAGCAC
rnacentral:rRNA from 1 species